rnacentral:rRNA from 1 species
GGAGACUGCCAGUGAUAAACUGGAGGAAGGUGGGGAGUGACGUCAAGUCAUCAUGGCCCUUACGACCAGGGCUACACACGUGCUACAAUGGCGCAUACAAAGAGAAGCGACCUCGCGAGAGCAAGCGGACCUCAUAAAGUGCGUCGUAGUCCGGAUUGGAGUCUGCAACUCGACUCCAUGAAGUCGGAAUCGCUAGUAAUCGUGGAUCAGAAUGCCACGGUGAAUACGUUCCCGGGCCUU